AUUGAACGCUGGCGGCAUGCCUUACACAUGCAAGUCGAACGGCAGCACGGGAGCAAUCCUGGUGGCGAGUGGCGAACGGGUGAGUAAUAUAUCGGAACGUGCCCAGUCGUGGGGAUAACGUAGCGAAAGCUACGCUAAUACCGCAUACGAUCUAUGGAUGAAAGCGGGGGAUCGCAAGACCUCGCGCGAUUGGAGCGGCCGAUAUCAGAUUAGGUAGUUGGUGAGGUAAAGGCUCACCAAGCCGACGAUCUGUAGCUGGUCUGAGAGGACGACCAGCCACACUGGGACUGAGACACGGCCCAGACUCCUACGGAGGCAGCAGUGGGGAAUUUUUGGACAAUGGGCGCAAGCCUGAUCCAGCAAUGCCGCGUGCAGGAUGAAGGCCUUCGGGUUGUAAAC
rnacentral:rRNA from 1 species